GUGGAUAUGGCCUAGUUGGUUAGGGCGCGAGUUUGUGGCACUUGAGAUCGUGGGUUCGAAUCCCACUAUCCACC
rfam:Peptoniphilus indolicus ATCC 29427 genomic scaffold SCAFFOLD4, whole genome shotgun sequence.